CUGGUCGAGUCGGCCUGCGCGGAAGAUGUAACGGGGCUAAACCAUGCACCGAAGCUGCGGCAGCGACGCUUAUGCGUUGUUGGGUAGGGGAGCGUUCUGUAAGCCUGCGAAGGUGUGCUGUGAGGCAUGCUGGAGGUAUCAGAAGUGCGAAUGCUGACAUAAGUAACGAUAAAGCGGGUGAAAAGCCCGCUCGCCGGAAGACCAAGGGUUCCUGUCCAACGUUAAUCGGGGCAGGGUGAGUCGACCCCUAAGGCGAGGCCGAAAGGCGUAGUCGAUGGGAAACAGGUUAAUAUUCCUGUACUUGGUGUUACUGCGAAGGGGGGACGGAGAAGGCUAUGUUGGCCGGGCGACGGUUGUCCCGGUUUAAGCGUGUAGGCUGGUUUUCCAGGCAAAUCCGGAAAAUCAAGGCUGAGGCGUGAUGACGAGGCACUACGGUGCUGAAGCAACAAAUGCCCUGCUUCCAGG
rnacentral:rRNA from 1 species